rnacentral:rRNA from 1 species
UACGUAGGUGGCAAGCGAUACUCGGAAUCACUAGGCGUAAAGCGCAGGUAGGCGGUUUGGUAAGUCUUUUGUGAAAGCUCCCGGCUUAACUGGGAGAGGUCAAGGGAAACUACCGGACUAGAGUGUGGUAGGGGAUACUGGAAUUCCUGUGUAGCGGUGAAAUGCGCAGAUAUCAGGAGGAACACCGGUGGCGAAGGCGGGUCUCUGGGCCGAUACUGACGCUGAGGAGCGAAAGCGUGGGGAGCGAACAGG